GUGGGGAAUAUUGGACAAUGGGGGGAACCCUGAUCCAGCCAUGCCGCGUGUGUGAAGAAGGCCUUUUGGUUGUAAAGCACUUUAAGCGAGGAGGAGGCUACCGAGAUUAAUACUCUUGGAUAGUGGACGUUACUCGCAGAAUAAGCACCGGCUAACUCUGUGCCAGCAGCCGCGGUAAUACAGAGGGUGCAAGCGUUAAUCGGAUUUACUGGGCGUAAAGCGCACGUAGGUGGCCAAUUAAGUCAAAUGUGAAAUCCCCGAGCUUAACUUGGGAAUUGCAGUCGAUACUGGUUGGCUAGAGUAUGGGAGAGGAUGGUAGAAGUCCAGGUGUAGCGGUGAAAUGCGUAGAGAUCUGGAGGAAUACCGAUGGCGAAGGCAGCCAUCUGGCCUAAUACUGACACUGAGGUGCGAAAGCAUGGGGAGCAAACAGGAUUAGAAACCCGAGUAGUCC
rnacentral:rRNA from 1 species